UAGGGAAUCUUCCGCAAUGGACGAAAGUCUGACGGAGCAACGCCGCGUGAGUGAAGAAGGUUUUCGGGUCGUAAAACUCUGUCUUCAGGGAAGAAGGAAGUGACGGUACCUGAGGAGGAAGCCCCGGCUAACUACGUGCCAGCAGCCGCGGUAAUACGUAGGGGGCGAGCGUUGUCCGGAAUGACUGGGCGUAAAGGGCGCGUAGACGGCUUUUUAAGUCUGGAGUGAAAGUCCUGCUUUCAAGGUGGGAAUUGCUUUGGAGACUGGAAGGCUUGAGUGCGGAAGAGGUAAGUGGAAUUCCCAGUGUAGCGGUGAAAUGCGUAGAGAUUGGGAAGAACACCAGUGGCGAAGGCGACUUACUGGGCCGUAACUGACGUUGAUGCGCGAAAGCGUGGGGAGCGAACAGG
rnacentral:rRNA from 2 species